rnacentral:rRNA from 1 species
GUGGGGAAUAUUGGACAAUGGGGGGAACCCUGAUCCAGCCAUGCCGCGUGUGUGAAGAAGGCCUUUUGGUUGUAAAGCACUUUAAGUGAGGAGGAGGCUACCGAGAUUAAUACUCUUGGAUAGUGGACGUUACUCGCAGAAUAAGCACCGGCUAACUCUGUGCCAGCAGCCGCGGUAAUACAGAGGGUGCAAGCGUUAAUCGGAUUUACUGGGCGUAAAGCGCGCGUAGGUGGCCAAUUAAGUCAAAUGUGAAAUCCCCGAGCUUAACUUGGGAAUUGCAUUCGGUACGGGUUGGCUAGAGUAUGGGAGAGGAUGGUAGAAUGCCAGGUGUAGCGGUGAAAUGCGUAGAGAUCUGGAGGAAUACCGAUGGCGAAGGCAGCCAUCUGGCCUAAUACUGACACUGAGGUGCGAAAGCAUGGGGAGCAAACAGGAUUAGAAACCCCAGUAGUCC